UCAAGUAUUUAAGGGCGUACGAAGGAUGCCUUGGCACUACCAGGCGAUGAAGGACGUGGUUACCUGCGAUAAGUCCCGGUGAGCUGGAAGCAAGCUUUGAACCGGGAAUCUCCGAAUGAGAAAACUCCACACGGCAAAACCGUGUGAUCCUAGCAAUAGGAAGCUAAACCCAGGGAAUUGAAACAUCUUAGUACCUGGAGGAAAAGAAAGUAAAAACGAUUUCGUUAGUAGCGGCGAGCGAACGCGAAACAGCCUAAACCGAAGUUAUGUCAAGCUUGAGGGCGUUGUGACAUCGGUGUUGUAGGGCUGGCAUGGGUUCACCUCAAUGGACCUGCAAAGUUACCAAAUUACCAUGUAGAAGAAGUGUUUGGGAAAACACGCCAUAGCGGGUGAUAGCCCCGUAUUUUAAACAUGUGUAGUCUUUGAGCCAGUUCCUGAGUACCACGGAGUACGUGAAGUUCCGUGGGAAUCUGCGAAGACCAUUUCGUAAGGCUAAAUACUAGGUAGUGACCGAUAGUGAACAAGUACUGUGAAGGAAAGGUGAAAAGCACCGCGGGAGCGGAGUGAAAUAGAACCUGAAAUCGUACGCUUACAAGGUAUGGAAGCCCGCAAGGGUGACCGUGUGCCUUUUGUAGCAUGAGCCUGCGAGUUACUGUAUGCAGCAAGGUUAAGGAAUUAAGUUCCGGAGCCGAAGCGAAAGCGAGUCUGAAUAGGGCGUUUUGAGUUGCAUGCUUUAGACCCGAAGUUGAGUGAUCUAGCCUUGGUCAGGAUGAAGUCCCAGUAACAUGGGAUGGAGGUCCGAACUCGUGAAUGUUGAAAAAUUCUGAGAUGAACUGAGGCUGGGGGUGAAAGGCCAAUCAAACUCAGCGAUAGCUGGUUCUCCUCGAAAUGUAUUUAGGUACAGGGUUCGAUGUUUCGUUAUAGGGGUAGAGCGCUGUUUGGGCUAGGGGCCUUACCCGGUUACCAAACCCAGGCAAACUACGAAUACCAUAACGUUAGAGUCGAGCACUGAGUCAGUGGGUGAUAACGUUCAUUGGCGAGAGGGAGACAACCCGGACCGACAGCUAAGGUUCCUAAAUCUAUGCUAAGUGAUAAAGGAUGUUCAAUCGCACAGACAAUUAGGAGGUUGGCUUAGAAGCAGCCACCCUUUAAAGAGUGCGUAAUAGCUCACUAAUCGAGCGAUUGGGCGCCGAAAAUGUACGGAUCUAAGUGUAGUACCGAAGCUUCGGGCGGGGCGAAUCGAGAGAUUCGCCUUGCGGUAGAGGAGCGUUCCUACAGCGGCGAAGGUAUAGCGAGAGCAGUGCUGGAGCGGUAGGAAGUGAGAAUGCAGGCAUGAGUAGCGAAAAUGACGGUUAAAUUCCGUCACACCGUAAGCCCAAGGGUUCCGCAGCAAGGUAACUCCGCUGCGGGUUAGCCGGUUCCUAAGGCGAGGCCGAAAGGCGUAGUCGAUGGUAACCUGGUUUAUAUUCCAGGGCUUAGUUUAAGUGGUUUGAGCGAUGGGGUGACGCAAGAAGAUAGGGGAGCAGCCUGAUGGAUGGCUGUAUAAGGUCGUAGGCGUUGAGAUGGUCAGGUAAAUCCGGCCGUUGAGCUGAAAGCUGAUAUGGAGUGGGCCUUCGGGUUUCACGAAGUUUCUGAUUCUAUGCUGCCAAGAAAAACCUCUAAGUUUACUUGAACUAAACCGUACCCGAAACCGACACAGGUGGGCGAGGAGAGAAUCCUCAGAUGCGCGAGAGAAACCUCGUUAAGGAACUCGGCAAAAUGACCCCGUAACUUCGGGAGAAGGGGUGCCCCGGUAGCGUGCAAGCGCGAGGGGGCCGCAGUGAAGAGUCCGCGGCGACUGUUUACCAAAAACACAGGUCUCUGCAAACACGUAAGUGGAUGUAUAGGGGCUGAUACCUGCCCGGUGCUGGAAGGUUAACAGGAGAUGUUAGGAGUAAUCCGAAGCAUUGAAUCGAAGCCCCAGUAAACGGCGGCCGUAACUAUGACGGUCCUAAGGUAGCGAAAUUCCUUGUCGGGUAA
rnacentral:rRNA from 1 species